GGGGCGCGACCCUUCGGCGCGCUAUUCGUUGACCUCUCGUGGGCCCGGGUGGUACCUCUCCCGUUGGUGUUUUGGAAUUCGGAGUCUUUUUCCACACUGACCUAGGGGAGCUCCUCUCCCCUUUGUUUCACCCCCGAUACCCCCGUGGGAAGUUUGAUGGUGCGGUAUUGGUUCACCUGGUCCGGAUCUACGCCUUCGAGUGGACGCCCCUGGAACCUAUGGCAGCGUCUAACCAAUACUCCCUGAAGAAGACCGUUACUUUCAAAAGGUCGAAACGCGUAGGGGUGUUUUUUCGCCCAUAGUAUUUUGUAUAACUCCACAGUACUGUUAUGCUAUGUCUGUAUUUGUUCUAUUCUCUGUUUUUAUUCGCUAUGUAUAACCUCUGUUGUCAUAAGCUCAUAUCUUGAGUCCCCCGUGUUUGGGGCUUUUUGAACUCUAUAUUUAAUAAAUUUAUAAUUUUUUA